rnacentral:misc_RNA from 1 species
GUGAAUCAUCAAAUCUUUGAACGCAAAUUGCGCUUCCUGGCAUCCCGGGAAGUAUGCCUGUUUGAGGGUCAGUAUUAAUAAAAAAUCGGCUUAGUUACAAAUUGUGACGUUUCCGGAGUUUGGGCUAUCUUAACAUUUUUUGUUUAGAAGCUUAAAAUUUAACUUUUUUGCGCCUUUUUAAACGUUCCUUAAUUUUUUUUUUUCGUUUAUUCUUUAUUCCAAAAACUUAUU